GGUGGUAUUCUAGUGGAGCCUUAACACAGUAGUAGGAAAGGAGAUUAACAGAAGGCAUAACUAUUAAACCCAAGAACUAGAACUCUUGUCUCAACAAAGAAGUAAUGCCAUCUUUCUAUCAUAUCUACCCAUCCACCCAUUUAUAUAUCUACCUUUGUCUUUCUACCAUAUCCUGGGCCUAUUGUUUAGUAAUUCUAUGUAUUUUAUAUGGGAGCUAUAAAUACAUGCACGCGCAUGCACAAA
rnacentral:lncRNA from 1 species